rnacentral:misc_RNA from 1 species
AACGCAUCUUGCGCUCCUUGGUAUUCCGAGGAGCAUGCCUGUUUGAGUGUCAUCUAAGUCCUCAAACCACAUUGAUUUAUUUUUUUCGAUGAGGUUUGGAUGUUGGGGGGUUUUGUUUUGCAGGCUUUUAUAAAAUGAAGUCUGCUCCCCUGAAAUGCAUUAGUGGUAUCUGAGCAGAAGAACUACUACAGGUGUGAUAAUAUAUCUAUGCCUUGGUAAACGUGCUGCAUGAAAACAGAUUGCGCUGCUUCUAACACGAAUUUAUUCAUCAUUUUGGAGACCUCAAAUCAGGUAGGACUACCCGCUGAACUUAA